UUAUAAUCGUGUGGGGUUAGGGGAAUUCGUUGAGGUUGGAUUGGGUGGUUUGAGGUUACUAUGGAGGUGAAGCGUAGGCCUCGGGGUAGGCCUAGGACGAAGCGGAUGGUUGUUAGGUCUAGGCUGGACGAGCUAGACAUGGUGUUGUGGCUGUGGUAUCAGCAGAAGUAUGAGGAACAGCGGGACGCGCCAGUCUAUGGAUGGAUGAUCUGCGACAAGGUCAGAGUUCUGCGGGAAAUUGAGGAUGACAGAGAUGGUGUUGUUCUACCCCGGUUGGCUGGAGUCGUUUGGAUCCCGUCAUGGUAUUACCGCCAGGAAGAACUUUAACAGAGAGAAGUGUUCUGCCGGUGAAGUCGACGGCUACCAGAGUCAGUUUGCCGAACUGGUGACCGGACGCCAGUUGACGGCAGACUGGGUGUAUAACAUCAACGAGACCAGAUUAUUUUGGCGCAGGUUUCCCUCGGGGAGUCACAGCCGCUACGGAGAAUCACAGAAUUAUGAGGAUCGACUGACUGCUUUGUUGUGCAAAUGCUGCCGGUAUGCACUGCUGUAAAUUAAUUGUGAUAAGCAACAGUAUUGAGCCUAAAGGUCUGAAUAAAACUUCUGAUCAUCUAUAGGGUUCACAAAGAUUCUUAAAUAAAUCAAGUUCUGUUUCAAGAUUGGUUUUAUAAUCAUUUUGUUCUUGAAGUCAAGAAAAACUUCAUCAAGACGGGUCGUCCAGAAGACAGUACGGCGCUAUUGUUGCUCGACAAAAGUAACGCUCACCCUAGGCUGCAAGAUUUAUGCAGAAGUAAUGUCUUUGCAGAGUUCUUGCCUGACAGUAAAACUGGUUUAAUACAACCGAUGGAACAAGCUCAUUACACGAAAACUUUUAUACAGAGGUUAAUCACACACAAUGGAAGUAUGGAAGAAUUUAACAAAAGUUUCACCAUUAACGAAGCAAUUUCUGAUACUACAAAAGCUUGGGAACUUGUUACAAAUUCAGGUUUGAAAAAAAGCUGGAGAAAACUCUGGCCUGACAUUUCUUUUAUUGAUUCCGACGACGAGGAAUUUGAAGGUUUUAAACCAAAGAGAAUAAAUAAGAGGAACUCUGUGAAACAAGAAAUAUUAGAUGACGUUAAAGUUAUCAAGGCUCCAGAAGUGAAGAAAAUGUUUGAGUCAGAGAACCUGGAAGAGUCCAUUGAUAAGUGGCUAGACUGUGACGAUGCUGCCCCAACAACAGAUCGUCUAACUGAUGAUGACCUGAUUAGCAUUAUUGAGAAUGCUAAGUAGAACGUUGAGAGCGAUCCCGAUGAUUCUGAUGGUCACGAGGAAAUUCCUCCACCGACCCUGAAGGAGAGUUUGAAGAGUGUGAAAGAUCUGAUAUGUCUCAUGGAGUCCAAAAACAAAUUUUCCCCGGAACAGGUCAUUAGUCAGUACCAGAUACAGAAGACACUUCUGUGUGUGUCAGUUAAGAUAAAAGCACUCAAAAAACAGUCCUUAAUUAACCCUUUGACUGUCGAAGGGCCCAAUCCUGAAGUUGCUCCUGGUGUCGCAAAAUAUUCGAAAAAAAAAAAAUUAUUUUUUCUUAUGAAAUGAUAGAGAAUCUUUUCCCGAUUGUAAAGACACCAAAAAAACGAAAUUUGAUGGAAAACUGACGGAAUUACGCUCUCGCGAAGUUAGCGACUUCGGCGAUAUUUAAAAAUCGGCAAUUUCGCCCACUUUGAGCCCUAUUUUUGGCUAAUUCCGUUAUUCCAGUCAACCAAACUCAUAACUAUUUCUUCAGAACUCUAUUUUUUCUAUCGAUUGAGCACAAGAAACUGCCCAUUUACCGAUUUCAACUACCCAAUAACAUGGUCAGAAAUUUGCAAUUUGGCCAAUUUCACGAAAAUUAAAAAAUACGACAAUUUCAAAAUAAGGUCCAGAAUGAACAAUGCAGACAUUCCUGGCUCUAAAAUAAGAUUUUCUUUGUUCAUCAGUCAUGUCUCCAGGUCCCUGUGAUAUUACUCUUGCUUUUUAUUUUGAAAUUUUAUUCAAACAAAAAAUAGAAGAUUUACUGUUAUGCAGACUACUGCAAUACUGUAAUAAUUGUAAAAAUUACAUCAACCCAUUCAUGACUGCGUAUUAGAAUGGCUAUUUGGACAUUUAUUGGACAAUGACAUCAUUUGUUUACUUUUGAACAUCGGCAAAAAUCAAACAUUUCCUGUACUUUGUGCUCCAUUUCCAGGUUCUUUUUAUAGUAAAAUUAAUCAAAAUCACCUCCAUUUCUAUAAUAUAGUUUCCAUUCUAUCAAAUUGAGACCAUGAAAACGAGAAUACAACCACAAUACUAUACGAAAAUAGACCACAAAGUCGGCAUUUUAAUUAAAAAAAACGGUCGGAGUUUUUUUUUUUCUCAUUAUGCACUGCGUGCUCCAGGAUUUUUUUUAUGUGGUGCACACUGACCACACAGACCCAUUCUCUCACAUGUGGGCCUACUAGCUUUCUCCUGCCUGAUUUGAAGCCGCUAGAAUUUAUGAGUAUAUAUACGUCAAACACGGUACCUCACAAACGUAUAUAUACGGCCGCGACAGUCAAAGGGUUAAAAAAAGGCAAAGCUUGAAAAAGCGUAAUAAAAAGCAAACCUUAAAAAAGCCCAUUAAAAAACAUUCAAAACGAGCACGACGCCCUCGGUCCCGUCCAGCACGAAGUGCUACUAGUUCUACCACAUCACUUUCUGUGAAAGGCGAUGUUCAUGAAGAUCCCAAAAACCACAAUAAGGGCAACUUGAUUGACGGGAAAGAUGGUGUGCCAUGCUCUGUCUCGGCGAGGAAGAACUCUGCCAAGUUCAGCAACUUUAAGACACCAGGUGUAAGCAACACUUGUCUCAAACCAACAGAUGAGAAUGACUCAUGUCAGACCAGUGGAUGAGAAUGACUCUCAUGUCAGACCAGUGGAUGAGAAUGACUCUCAUGUCAGACCAGCGGAUGGGAAUGACACUCAUCUCAAACCGGCAAACAAAAUUCACAGCCGUUUGAAACGGAAGAUUGACAUCCAAAAAUCAUCCACCAAAAAAAUGCGAGUGAGGCCAUCGCCGGUGAGUUAUUUUGCCAACUCCAAGUCGUUAACUGUCAAUAAUCUCUGGCAAAGCUUCCAUUUCUAUUUUAUCACUAGAACUACUCUCUCUCAACUUUUGACUACCACUGUCACUUCUGACACUACUUCCGCCACCAGCCUUACCACUUCUUUGUCUUCUUCUCUUGGUCCUGUCCCUCUUUCCCUCAUAUAUACAGAAAGUCCUCAACCUACAAACACGUUGAGAGUCUUCUGUAUUGUGUAUAUCAUUAUUGUGUACAUCAUUAUUAGGUAUUAUUAUACACAAUACAUAAGGCCCCCAAUGUGUUUGGAAGUCAAGGACUCGCCAUACUGGCUCCCUCUUUCUCUUUUGCUAGUGUAAUUUGUUAAUGGAGUGAAACGUCGUCAUAAGGUUCUCUCUCCUAUGUGUGGGUUAUUUGUGUAUACUUCCCUAUAUACCUGGAGGGUGUUUUGGGGGUCAAUGCCCCCAUGACCCGGUUCAUAACCAGGCCUCGCGGUGGAUCAGGACCUGAUCAACCAGGCUGUUACUAUAUCCAGUAUUGAAUAGCACUUACUAUAAAGACAUUGUCACUUGCAAAAAACAGUCAAGACUGUGUAGAGAAGCUUUAUAAUAGAGCUUAUGGGUCCCUCUCCAUGUGCGAUUUUUUUAGAAAUUUCCCAUGUCACUUUCAUCCCGAAUCUAGGGAACUCCUUUCUGGAAUCAUUAGCCUCAUUUUUGGAACUUGUCUUGGUUGAACAAUAACAUGUUAAUCGCUUGGGAGUAAGAGAAUUAUGUUGGUGCACCAUGGUGGACUGAAAUGUUCCCAUGAGGCACUGUGGGGGGCCAGAAUUUUUAGCAUACUUAGCACACCUACUGUGAGGACCCAUUUUCUUAUGCUUAGACCUUGCAGGCCUCUUGCACCGAAUUUGAAGGUGCUAUGAUUUAUAUGGUACAGACACUUAUAUCACUGAUGUAAAUCUACCAAAC